CUGGCCAUGGAGAUGCAUCAGGAAAUUGUCAUCAGCAAGCUGGUUGCCUCCAACCUUCCUAGCCAGUUGCCCAAACUACUGGUCCUCAGGGAGUCCUCUGACAUUCACACAAGCCAUCUUGAUCAAGAAGACUGAACUGAAGAUUGGAACAGAUGGAUCAACCUAGGACAGGUACAGAAGCUUGAACCAGAAGGCCAAUCCACCAAGAAGGAAAUACCAG